AUCAGGUAGCCCUCCAGAAUCCUGAAUGGCAUCUUGUCACUUCCAGAGACUUUUCCCUCAGUACACUUCAACAAUAACUUCAAGUUUACCAGCUCUUCCUGGAAAGAGUUGGUCCAAUUAUUGAACAGUCUAAUUUUACAGUAACCAACCCAAUGAAUGAAUCUCAAAUCUUAAAGCUCUAGGAGCUGAGGGGACUUCUAGCUAAAGAGAUAUGUGUUGGCGAUGCCCUGAGCCACAUAGAUGAAGUAGAGACAAGACAAGGAGAGGGAGAAGAUGAAGGCAAGGAGGGAGCAAUUGGAGAUCUGCAUCAUCCACCGGAGCACAGACAUCUUCCUCUCCGGGCCAGCAGCCGGCUGCACUCUCAGGCCAGACUCGGAGUGACUGUCCAGGCCCUAAACUUCCAUGAAGGUGCCAGGAACCCAGAGGAUGCGGCGGAGUCAGUUUUGCAGCCUACCCCCAUCUGACGCUCUCACCGGCCAGGAGAGACAAGCAGCUUGAAGCUCCCCAGCGGUCCCGGGCCACGCCAAUGGCACUGUGAAGUCUCUGAGGCUUCUUGCAGCCCCACCCCCAUCGGACUCUCUAAACUGCGACCAG
rnacentral:lncRNA from 1 species